UACAGAGGUCUCAAGCGUUGUUCGGAUUCAUUGGGCGUAAAGGGUGCGUAGGCGGUUCGGUCAGUUGGGUGUGAAAAGUCGAGGCUCAACCUCGAAAUUGCACCCAAUACUACCGGGCUAGAGUACUGCAUAGGAAGCUGGAACUUACGGUGUAGCAGUGAAAUGCGUAGAUAUCGUAAAGAAGACCAGAGGCGAAAGCGAGCUUCUAGGCAGUUACUGACGCUCAUGCACGAAAGCCAAGGUAGCAAACGGG
rnacentral:rRNA from 1 species